CGGACGGGUGAGUAAUGUCUGGGAAACUGCCCGAUGGAGGGGGAUAACUACUGGAAACGGUAGCUAGUACCGCAUAACGUCGCAAGACCAAAGAGGGGGACCUUAGGGCCUCUUGCCAUCGGAUGUGCCCAGAUGGGAUUAGCUAGUAGGUGAGGUAACGGCUUACCUAGGCGACGAUCCCUAGCUGGUCUGAGAGGAUGAUCAGCCACACUGGGACUGAGACACGGCCCAG
rnacentral:rRNA from 1 species